GCAGAUCCGGAUCGGGGGCGGCGGCUGCUGCUGCGCGGGGUCCGAGGCGCUCAGAGCCGUGAGGAUCAUCGAGUCAAAUGCUGAGGAGUGACCGGCCCAGCUGCGCAUUGAUCACAGACUUUCAGCCUUGUCAGCACCCUGCUCCAAACACCUGAGCCAAUCCCAGGGUUGCUCCAAAGUCCUGCGUGGGAUGGGAAUGACUGCUGCCAGUAAGAGACCUCCUCUACAAAUGCAGCUCCUUCCCUUCUGUGAAUGCUGCUUUACACACCAGCCCCUGCAAUGGCUCUAGGGCAGAACUGGCUGGCACUCACCUGUCAGCACCAAACUCUUCCCCACGACCCUGAUUGUUCUGCCCUUUCCAGGAUUUACCCAGCAGCUGUAAACGUGCUCACACGAUGUCCCUUUGUUUCCCCAGGAAGAAGUGAACCAGACAGCUCCUGAGGGUUCCUCUGGAGAGUGGCAGGGGGCGUUUCCUGCAGGUGAGCGUUGCCAGCUCAAAGUGACGGUGGCUGCUGAGGCCGGGGCUGUUUCUGGGCCCAGAGGCCUCGGUGUCUCCUGCUCGCUGCCAGCCGUGCUCCUUGGUGUUCCCUCAGGGUGUCCCAGCGGGCUGGGAGCGCAGGGCAGGAGGAGCCAGAAGCUCCUGAAGGCAGCAGCCCCUCGUGUCUGUGGGAUCUGCAGGAGGAGCUGUGCCUGCACCGUGGCUCCUGGGCCAGGGGCUGCUCUGAGCAGGCACGUGGAAAUGCUCCAGCCCACACAGAGCACCAAGAGCCCAGGAGGAGCCCAAGGAGCAGCUGGCAUUACCUGGGAAUGGAGGCACGGCCCGUUUGCACAGGGGCUCACGCAGCAAUUCCCGGUUCAGAGCUCCCACACAGCUGCCAGCUAUGUCCCAGCCACCCCAAAUCCCUUCCCUCCUGCCCAGCCUGAGGCCACCAUCCAUCAGCAGCAUUACAGCCAAGGCAAUCUUCCCCCACAGAUACUGAAUCCCAGGCAGGAGCCCUCAGAGAUACCUGGAAAUCAGUGGGAUGGAGUUUGGAGUUUUUCAGGAUCCAGCUGCAAGUGCACAAGUGGUGGAAAGCUUUCACAGUUUUAAUCCCUCAGUGGGCAGCCUGUACAACUUAUCCUGGGAUUUAGAGGUUGAGCAGGGCUGGCUUUGGAUUGACCUUCACCUCUGGCCCCAGCCUGUGCAAACACACCUUGUGCCAGAGUGGGUGAGCUCAUCACCUCAGCUUUUCCCUCCUAAAUAUCCCCUACUUAUUUCCCUGUAGAUUAACUCAGACUUUGCCCCAAACCAUCCACUCCUCACCUCCAUG